GCCCGGCCUUUCUCUGCGCCCGCCGCCGCGUGGGGGAAUGGGAGAGACCCGCGGCCGUGAGGGGAGGGAACGGCCCUGGGCCGGGCUGGGCGUCCCUCGGGCCGCCGCCAUGAGGGGCCGCCAUGAGGGCAUCACCUGAUGGGAGGCUGGGGCACGUGUGAGGGGGUCGCACCCGGAGCUCAGGGUGGCCGAGAACCGUGCGAAGGGAACAAACCUCGAAGGGAACAAAAACCUCGAAGGGAACAAACCUCGGGUGACGGGUCCGCACGAGCCGCCUCCCGCGAGUUGUGCUGAGGGGGAACAGCCGCGUGAGGCCCCUCCAGGAGAACAGCGGUGCCUGUGGAGAGGAGAUGUAAAGGGAUAACCGGUGCAUGAGACACAGGGAGAUCUCGGGAGCACCUCAAGCAGCGUGGAUGAGGUUGUGACCGUGAGCCAACGAGGCGAGAUGGGCAAACACUCCGUUCUGUUGUUAGUAAACUAAACGUCCUCUUCUGGUGGUAAUCGAGGUCCUGUACCAGCCUCAGGUCCUGAGGGUGGAAAGAAUAACCUGGUUUAUCCAGCAAUAGGUUUACCUAACCUACAUUAUCUAUUCCACUUGCUGGAGGAAACCCUGAUGAGAGGAGGUAUCACCAGAGGGUUGUACUUUGUGCCUCCACUUCCUUCAGUCCUUUAAACCCUCAGUUUUGAGUUGUUUCUCCCAGUGGUAGUCAGCUGCCUGUGGCUGCUCCGUGCCUGUGCCAGUGUUAUGCUGCUGGGAGAGAAAGGUGCUGCCGAGUCCUCCUGGCACCGCCGGCGCCGUCCUGGUGCUCGGUGGUGCUGGGCUUUGGCAGUGCUCUGCAUGCCUGAGAGUGGAGUAACUCCUGCUUGUGGAGUUAGAGCCUAGAUUGGAUGCAGACAACACACAGAAAACUGAAAAAUCUAUUGCAGACACUUUGUUUAUUGUACAUCUUUUAUAUAAAAAUGAAGGUAAGUGUCCUGGGGCUUGCUGGAGCAGCAGGAGUGGCCAGAAGAAAAGAAAAAAGCUGUUGGUGCUGCUCUGAAAAUCCCUGUUUGGAAAGGAUUGGGAAGAUGGAAACUUGGAAGCCCACAAUUGAAACGGGGCUAUAAGAAAAUGAUUUAUAUUCAGGAUCUGGAUGUAGGAAUUUCAAACAUCAGAGGUAGUUUGGGGCAGGGUAUGACAAGCAUUAUCUGUACAGUUCUUUAAUUGUUAAUCCCUUCUCACUGCUUGUUUAAAAUAUAUUUUAUGUGACCUCAAUUAAACUUAUUUGUGUUUAAACUUG